ensembl:snRNA U6 U6 spliceosomal RNA
GCGCUCCCUCAGCAGCACAUAUUCUAAAACUGGAAUGAUACAGAGAUAAAGAUUAGCAUGGACCCUGCACAAGGAUUAUACAAAUACAUGAAGCAUUCCAUAUUAAA